CAAUGUGUUCAUAUGAACCUAAUUAAUGUAUCUAUUUGAAUUUAAAUGGAAAGCAAAAUGAAAAAGAAAAUGGGAAAAAGAAAAGUGUAAAAUGGCAAUAUGAUAGAAAUUUGGGCCAGGUUAUAUUUUUAAGCCCAAAAGGCUCAAUUCCUAACAGAAGGCCCACUAGCUACUGUGUGGCGAGUCUUCUUCCAAGUCUGCUCGCCCUUUCCUCUCUUCGACGUCGAUCGCUAAUGGACGACGCCAUUGGUCGAAGUCGAACGUUCUUAUCUUGUAUCGUUACGGAUUCCGAUGCCUCGCGCCCAUCUUCAAUUCAAGCAGAAGAGAGAACCAAGAAGAUGACGUCGUUUCUGCGCUUCGUGAUCUUCCGACUUCUCUUUGUUCUUGCAUCACGUCCACUUGGCGGUUUUCUUAUAUUGAUGGAUUCAUCUUGGAGAUCCUACAUGUAUUUGCCUCAAAACAAUUUAGAAGUGAAAUCUGAUACAACCUGAUAUUUGGCAAAACUUGUGCUGUUAUCUCUGACUUACUUCGCUGUGGCUGAGAUGAAGAUGGUAUUACUGCUUCAGGAUCUUUUCUGAUGUCAUGCCUACACAAGGCCACACUGGCUGCAAAGCUCGAACUUGGAAGAUCAUCUAGCAAUUUAGUGUGCUUCUCAGUAUUGUUCCUCAGAGUAUCUCCCGCGC